rnacentral:rRNA from 1 species
UACGUAGGGUGCGAGCGUUAAUCGGAAUUACUGGGCGUAAAGCGUGCGCAGGCGGUUGUGCAAGACCGAUGUGAAAUCCCCGGGCUUAACCUGGGAAUGGCAUUUGGGACUGCAAGGCUCGAGUGCGGCAGAGGAGACUGGAAUUCCUGGUGUAGCAGUGAAAUGCGUAGAUAUCAGGAGGAACACCGAUGGCGAAGGCAGGUCUCUGGGCUGACACUGACGCUCAUGCACGAAAGCGUGGGGAGCAAACAGG